rnacentral:lncRNA from 1 species
UUUAUUCAUUCAUGAGAGACAGAGAGAGAGAGAGAGGCAGAGACACAGGCAGACGGAGCCUGACGUGGGAUUCGAUCCUGGGUCUCCAGGAUCACACCCUGGGCUGAAGGCGGCGCUAAACCUUGCUGGGCCACCCAGGGAUCCCUAACUACUCUAUUUUUGUUCAGAACAUUAUUAUUUUUUUUAGAACAUUAUUAAAAAUAAUAAAAUAUGGUUUUAACAGGCCAAACACAUUACUGCCACCUAAUAUCUGUUAUAUUGUGGGGGAGGUGGGAUGACAUUGGAGAAUCAACUAGAUAAAUUGUGUUUCCCUACAACUCUUUCCUUCUUUUUGGUAUUAUUACUUCUAGUCGUUGCUGGUUAUUUAGUCUCUUUAUAAGUAUGUGGCAUAAACUAGGAAUCUUGAGAUUUCUAUUGUAUGCUGAGAUAUAUUUUAAUAUAUUAUUUCUACCUAUGAUUUUAUUUGAAGCAACAGUGGUAUUUUGGUAAUGAAAAAGAGGCAACUUGAAAGGGAGUUGCUAUUACCUGAUGUUAAGCAAUUAAAAAUAAAAUCUGACUUUAAGCCUCUUUCUUGCAAAGUCUUUCAAUCUUCUCGAUGUCUUUUCAUUGAAAAAGACAGAUCUCAUGACCAAUCUAUGAACAUCCCAUUGAAUAUUGCCAUCUCCUAUUAAGGGCAUGGAAGUAAACUCUGUAACUAAAACAGAUGCCUUCGCCCACAGGUUCUAAAAUCAGAGGGUAUUCAUAAACCUCUCCACAAAUUUUCAGAGUGUAGUGGGAAACAGGAACUGUUAAAAAUUUGAAACUCUACUAAAGUACUUUCUACCUCUUCCGGGAAAAGAAAAUAUAUUACUUUCUAGGAAGCUCACUACUUUAAAAAACAUGCAAAGCAAUCAGGGUUGGAAAUUCGUGGUUAGCAUUUGGGUUAUCUCCGCUCAGUUUAAGGCGAUAUUUACUUUUAGAUGGAAAGCCAUAGAAUGAUUCUCUGACUCCUCUCAAAAUUGUGUUGGAAUUGUUUCAAGAGAGCAGAAAAAACACUUAUUUUAAUUAUUAUUUUCUGAGCAGAUAUUCUAUGAUACCUAACAUGUUUUACUUCUUCCCUUGGGUACACAGACGUAUAUAUUCUGUUAUACUAAUCCCAUUCCAGCUAGAAAGAAAAACUGACCAACUAUUGGUAGACUUUUCUAGGUUGAGAGCAGAGGCUGACGUUAAAUAACCACAAAAACUUUGGGUAAUUAUAUCAUAAUACAUGAUUCGACUCACAUUGGAAAAAAGUUGCCCUCAAUUUCAAGGCGACAAAAGAAGAGACCGUGUAGCUUUGAAAAGUAGAAUCUCUAAUGAAGGGUCAGCAUUAUAAAAGCAAGGAGGCAGCUGACGUGCUGUUUUGACAGUUGGGUAAAGAUGUGGGGGCGAUAGGAUUGUAAACCAGAGGAAGUUCUGAUAAAAGGAUAGAAUGAAGUGUUUGAAAAUAGUAAAGUGAGAGCUUAAUUAACAUAGACUAAUGGAAAGAGCAGGAAAGGGAAGAGUGAUUUAGUUCAGAUAGUAAGUAGUUUGUGGAGAAAUUUUAUAGAGUAAUAACUUAAUUUGUAUUUUAAUUUGCAAGAGCCACGGGACGACAUUAUUUGAAGAAUGACAGUUUUAUUGUUUUAAUAUUUUAUACCUAAGAAGCUCCCAUUUAUCUGAAAUAUAAGUUAGUACCCCUUUCUAUUAAUGUGAUGAUAGGUUAUCCGGCAAACUGGCAAGCAGGGGUUUGCUUUUAUUAACCUUGUUAUAACCUUAAAAAAACUAUUUUCAAUAUUUCAAAUUAUAAGCAAGAUCAUGAUUUUAUAAUGUGAAGAUAGCUGAAAGUCAGACUUGGUUGCAAAUCAGCCCUAACUUUUUUGGCUGGUGUCCUUUAAAACUGGGCAAAACCCUGGCAAACCAAUCUCCUUAAUUAGGAAUCAUGUGAGUAGUUUAACAUUAAAAAAAAAAAAUUAAAGAAAUACAUGAUAUAGGUUAUAUAGAGUUUUGGCUUUUUAUAUUUAAACGAAUGCACAGAUAUCCAUUUAUAGCUCUCUUAAUAAUCACUUAAUAGGCUGGUGAUCUUAUGUCCUGGAUUUUCCAGGUCACUUCAGAUUUCCAAUAUUUUGUCUGUUGUUAAAAGCGUGUACAGAUUUUAGUUUGGAAAAUGUGGCCAAUGAAUUCCAAGACCAACCCUGAAAUAGCAAGGGCCUUUAGCAUUAUGUAGUAAUCCCAUUUCUGGGUCAUGAUCAUCAAAUUAAACCAAACCAAAGUUCAUUAUUUGAGACUACCCAAUAAUAAGCUAUCAAAACAGGGCAUUUGAAAACUUUGUAGUAAUUAGUUUGAAAAGCGUUCAUAAUACGCUUUAUUAUAGGCACAAGCACACCUAACUAGUAGGCCUAUAGAGGACUCCUCACUCUUGUCCUAUAGGAAAUGAAAAACAAGCCGUAUUUAUAAUUUCAUGUUACAUACUGUAAAUAAAUGCCCAUAUGUACGGUGCUUAGGGAGAAAAAAUACAAAAAUAAUCUAAAUGAACUUGCGUCGAUAAUCUAAAAAAUUCUGGUGGUCUUCCUCGUUUCUGAUUUUCACAGACUGGACCUCAUACUCCUGAUCAGCUGGCACUGACAGGGCAUACCGGCUUUUGCUAUAAAUAGGACAGUAAUUACGAGUGAACUUUUAAAGCGGAGACGGUCUCGCCGUCGUUCACGCCAAAAUGUCGCUAUUACGCAAAUGGGACCAUUUGGAUCACUUGCCGGCCUUCUCCCUCCAACCUGUGCCCCCGCACCCCUCGGCCGGAGCUCUGCCCGUUGCUCCCUCGCGAUCUGGGGACGCACCAAGCGGGGAGAGAAAAGUUUUCCGGUCCGCUGUGUGCAGAACGGCACCUAACAACCCUUCCGAAAAUUAAGGUGGUUCUUCCCGAGUCUGGUGGGACACACGUCCCGCAGCGGUGGUCGCGCGCCCGUCCCGCAUCUCCGCGCCCCUGCGGCUCGGGAAGCCCGGGACGCGCGCGGCUGCCGGGGGGGGGGGGGGGGGGGGCGGGGGCGGGGACGAGGGACGCGGGGCGGCCGCCGGCGCUCGGCGCGGUUGCCACGGAUGACUCACUGGCGCUCCGCACAGUCGCUGCCAGGCGCUCCCCGCCCGCCGCUUCCUUCCCGGGGCUGCUCUCGGGCGGUCCCGGCGCUCCGGCCUUCCAGGAGCGGGGAGCA